UACGGGAGGCAGCAGUGGGGAAUAUUGCGCAAUGGGCGCAAGCCUGAUGCAGCCAUGCCGCGUGUAUGAAGAAGGCCUUCGGGUUGUAAAGUACUUUCAGCGGGGAGGAAGGUGUUGAGGUUAAUAACCUCAGCAAUUGACGUUACCCGCAGAAGAAGCACCGGCUAACUCCGUGCCAGCAGCCGCGGUAAUA
rnacentral:rRNA from 1 species